GGAGAGCUACCACUGGCUCCCCUUGCUGUAUGGCCUAAUGCUAUACACUGUAAUGUUGGUGAUCCUAUUGUAUCUGAGUAACCUUACAUCAAACCACUCUUAAGGCCCACAUGGAUACAUACAGGCAAAGAUUCUCUCCCCUCCCCCCCCCCCCUUGUGCAUUUGCCAGCAUUUGAUUCCCUGGAAUGUUGGGAGGCUUAUCUACACCACAGUGCAGUCCUGGGGAAUUGGUUUUAUCUCUUAAGUGGGUAGUGGCUAAAAACAAGGUGGUGGUGGUGGUUGUCUUGCAAGCACUGAUUCCCAGUGGAAUUCCUCAAGACAUUGGUGGCUGAAGAUCUUGAGUGUCCUGGUUUGGCCUUCAAAUAGUAACUUUUAACUGGCUUGCUUUUUUGAAGGUUCAUCACUAUUUUUCUGGUUUGGGAGUUGGUGCUACAGAGGGAAAUAAGAAUGUGGGGUGCUCAGCACAAAUGUGUACAGUGGUAAAACACCCUGUGCUCUGUCAUAAUACCUGGCCCUUUUAAGGGUUCAAACAAUGAGUCCAGUUAACACGUGGUGGUGUCCCUUGCUGCAAUUGUAAUACUGCUGUAUUGCUGUUGCUAGGGUGAACCCGGGAAGGAAGGUGCCCUCUUGGUUUAUGCAAAUGCUUCCUAAAGUUGGAUGGCAUGUCCUAUUUGGUUUGGAGAAACUCAGCUUUGGCAGAUGAGCUGUUAGAGAAGGAAGCUCUCAACAUCUGGGGACUUGAGGCUUCAGGGUUGAGGUGGAACUGGUGUUGGUGUGCCUAGAUGGGCCUACCUGUAGUUAGCUCUGUCCUGUUCUUACACUGUGAGAAUUCUCUGCUAGCGUGUGGAAGCCAGUGUUCCUUGGAGACCCCCGAAGUGUGUUGUGCCUCCUUCAGUGCGAUCCAUGUGAGACGAAAGCUGCUCUUGGCUAGUUCAUUUGUGGAAAUAGUCCUGUAUUUCGAGGUAACUCUUUUGCUCAUGUCUGCAUCUUCUCUCCCACAGAGCUCCAUUCUUAUGGCCACAGCAAACCACUGGUUCUUACUGCUUUUUGACAAACUCACUGGGCUAAUCCUGGGGUCUUUACAGACCCCCUGGAGAACUUGGUCUGAAUCUGCAAUUUUAUCCUGGGGGAGGGCCUGGCUGGCUGCUGUGAUUGAUAUCUGCUUUCCAAAAAUGGGGAAAUGCAACCAACCAAACAAUACUUGGAUUCAUCCAGCUGUCUUGUCCAAGACUUUAUAAUAGUGCCUUAUGCAGAACUUGGACUGUUGAGAAGGUUUCUCUCAGCACAGCAUACUUUGGGUAUGGGAGGCUUUUGUUCCCACUUGCCAAUUUUUCCACUGGUAUGUGGUUUUAGAUGAUCUAAAUGAGGGAGAAAAAUUGACCACAUUAACUUGGGGGAAUCUCCUCAGGACUAGGUGAACAGCAUCACCUAGCCCUGGAGUAUCCUGUCAGACCUAUAAUCUAUGAAAUGAAGUGAGUUUUUGAAUGAGCUUGAGUUAGUGACACUGACCUGUUUUUGGCAGGUGAGAAGAGAGAAGGGUGUUAUGCCAUUCUGCGGUGAAGUACUGGAAUGGGAAUGAAACCGCUUCUCCAGCUCUUGAAUCCAUGCUAUGAAAUUGGUGCCACUUGCUGGAAUGGCUGUUACCUUUACCAGGACUGAUGGGAAAAGUGGGGCAAGAAGACAACAGCAGCACAGUGCUUAUACAGCAGACUGCUCAAGAGAGGCUGGCUGGUGUAAACAGUGGCCCAAGUUAAACUGGGAAACGCUGACGUUGAACUUGCUUACAAUUGUAAGCGCUGUUCAGUGCUUCUGGUGAUUUUCAGCUCCAUGUGUUCAAGAACACAAGGUAGAAUUUCCAACUUCGUUUUAUAAGUAAGCCGGGCUGUAGCUUUGUACAAAAUCUCAGCUUAAAAUUGGCUGCCGAGGAAGAAUACUAACAUAUAACAUCUUUAACAAGCAGCCAAAUGAACUGCAAAAUACAAUACUAAUUUUUAAAUCCGUUUCUCCUGUGGUAUUUUGGAUUCCCAAGUUUAAGAUUGUGAAUAAUAAAAGGAUGAUUUUA